AUCAAGAUGGCAGAUUAGUGCACUAGAUUUAAGCUCUAAAUAUAAGAGACCUCUUUCUUGAUA
rnacentral:tRNA from 1 species